GUUUGGCACCUCGAUGUCGGCUCAUCGCAUCCUGGGGCUGGAGCAGGUCCCAAGGGUAUGGCUGUUCGCCAUUUAAAGUGGUACGCGAGCUGGGUUUAGAACGUCGUGAGACAGUUCGGUCCCUAUCCGGCGUGGGCGUAGGAUAUUUGAGAGGAGCUGUCCUUAGUACGAGAGGACCGGGAUGGACGGACCGCUGGUGUACCUGUUGUUCUGCCAAGAGCAUGGCAGGGUAGCCAAGUCCGGAAGGGAUAAACGCUGAAGGCAUCUAAGCGUGAAGCCCCCCUCAAGAUGAGAUAUCCCAUAACGUCAAGUUAGUAAGACCCCUUGAAGACGACGAGGUAGAUAGGGCAGAGGUGGAAG
rnacentral:rRNA from 1 species